UUAGUCUUUCCAUCUCAAUUAAAGGCCAUAAUUUUCAUACCUACUUUGAGCUAUUUUUCCAGAUGAUCACCUGUUUACCCUGAAGGAUUUCAUUUGUUCUCCUCUACCCCUGCUAAGAGCAAAUUCGGGGUCCCAUAAUAAAAAUGAAUAAAAAUCUGCUUUGGAAAUGGUCAGAAUGCAAUAGUAGGAUUUGGGUAAGAGGUGAACACAAGACUAGUCUUUCCAUGAACUGGUUUCUGUCCUGCUUUUUUUUCAGAUGCUGCAGUAUUCUUUGUGCCCAGAAGAUGACAGUGAAUGACUGUGCUGAUGUCCUCAAUGGCAAUGAAGUGGUCGAGAAAUAUUUACGAAGCGCCUACUAUGUGUGAGUCCAGAGGCUAGGUCCUGGGGACAUGGAGGCAAUCAUUGAAUGCACUCUGGAUGCCAGGAGCUGAAAUCCUUUUGGUGGAGAAAACUUGUGUGUAUGUGAAGGAGGAGCUGUAAAUAUUUGGGUCCAGAGAGCUGAGGAAAAUCCUUAAGUAGGGCAAGGUGUCAUGUUGAGUUUGUUGACCCAAGGAACAUGGAACCUUGAGCUCUCAAUGGGUCCCCUUCUCUUCCCAAACCUCAGGUUCUCCAUCCAUAAAGUAAGGGCUUUAGAGGUCCGAUGGCACGUUCCACACCAGUAGUCCCAUGCUCCUAGGAUGUUCAGUGUUUGUCUAUGUCUAGUUAAAGCCAGAAUGGAGCAAUCGUCUUCCCUAUUUAGGCCAACAGAGAGACCUUUAGCCAAUUAGAGAUGAAACUGAGCAAGAGAAAAGACCUGAGACAGUCUUUGAUGAAAUCUACUCUAUGUGAUAUACUUCCUUCUCUUUCUCACUGCAUUUGUCCCCCAUUGCCUUUGUAGCCCCACCAAACCCUCCAAGACCAAGAGGAGAGAAUUCUCCAGAACUCAUUCAUUAGGAUCUGGCACUGAAAAAGGAGAGAGAGUGUGUGUCUUGUUGAAAUGCUGGAUGAGAGGGUCAGCAAUAGUGUGUGAACCAAUAUUUAGAGCCAUAGCAAGGGAGUCAAAAUAAAGGAGGCCAGCUCCAUUGAGAGAGAGAGAGA